UACGUAGGGCGCAAGCGUUAUCCGGAAUUAUUGGGCGUAAAGGGCUCGUAGGCGGUUUGUCGCGUCGGGAGUGAAAACCUCGGGCUUAACUCGGGGCUUGCUUUCGAUACGGGCAGACUAGAGGUAUGCAGGGGAGAACGGAAUUCCUGGUGUAGCGGUGGAAUGCGCAGAUAUCAGGAGGAACACCGGUGGCGAAGGCGGGUCUCUGGGCAGUAACUGACGCUGAGGAGCGAAAGCGUGGGGAGCGAACAGG
rnacentral:rRNA from 1 species